GGUAUCCUGACCGUNCNAAGGUAGCAUAAUCAUUUGCCGUUUAAUUGGUGGCUGGAAUGAAUGAAUAUACGAGAGCUCAACUGUCUCAUCUUUACUUAUAAAAAUUGACCUCCGGGUGAAGAGACCCGGAUUAACCAAAAAGACGAAAAGACCCUUUAGAGCUUGACCUUACCUCUUAUUUACUGAAUGAAGGUUUAGUUGGGGCAACUAGAGAGUAACUAAAACCUCUCUAUUAGUAAACCUAUGUUGAUCCGAGAAAAUCGAUUAAGAGAAAAAGCUACCUCAGGGAUAACAGGCUAAUCCUCUUUGAGAGACCAUAUUGACAAGAGGGAUUGGCACCUCGAUGUUGGCUUAGGAGUCAUAGCUGUUUCCUGA
rnacentral:rRNA from 1 species